UAUAUACUUCCUCGGUCCAAAAAUACUUGUCGGAGAAAUUGAUAAAAAUGUAUGUAUCUAGAACUAAAAUACGUCUAGUUACAUCCAUUUAUCCGACGAGUAUUUCCGGAUAGAGGGAGUAUAUA
rfam:Triticum aestivum genome assembly, contig: Triticum_aestivum_CS42_TGACv1_scaffold_591793_7BS